rnacentral:rRNA from 1 species
UUUUAAUGUGAAGGUAGGGGAGCGUUCCUUGGUAGAAACAAGCUUGACCGUAAGGACAGGUGUCGGACCAAGGAAGUGAGCAUGUUGGUAUAAGUAACGAAAAAACAGGUGGAAUUCCUGUCCGCCGAAAGUCUAAGGGUUCCUUGAGAACGGUUUAUCCACUCAGGGUUAGUCGAUACCUAAGCCGAGGCCAGUUGGAGUAGGCGAUGGACAGCAGGUUAAAUAUUCCUGCACCACCAUAUGACGUUUGAGUGAAGGGGUGACGCAGAAGGGUAGGUUGACUUGGUGAAUGGAUGCCAAGCUAAGCACAAAGGUAGAUUUUAUAGGAAAAUCCGUAAAGUCGUUACAAACUGAAGUGUUAUGGGUAUUUUAAUUCGAAAGAAGAGAUGUAUUCAAUUGACCCCACGCUGACUAGAAAAGCCUCUAGCGAGUUAUAAGGUGAUCGUACCGCAAACCGACACAGGUAGACGGGCUGAGAAUGCUCAGGCGUUGAGAUAAUUAUCAUUAAGGAACUCGGCAAAUUGGCCCCGUAACUUCGGGAGAAGGGGUACCUGAUUUUGUUAUGGAAGCAUGUCUUUCAGAAGCAUUAGCAGGUUUCAAUAAAUUGGCCCAAUCGACUGUUUAACAAAAACACAGGGCUCUGCAAACUCGUAAGAGGAAGUAUAGAGUCUGACGCCUGCCCAGUGCCGGAAGGUUAACGGGAGAUGUUCGUUCUUAGGAGCAAAGCAUUGAACCGAAGCCCCGGUAAACGGCGGCCGUAACUAUGACGGUCCUAAGGUAGCGAAGUACCUUGUCGGGUAAAUUCCGACCCGCAUGAAUGGCUAACGAGUUGGGCGCUGUCUUAAUGAUACACUCAGUGAAUUUGUAGUGCCGGUGAAAAUGCCGGCUACCCGCAGAAGGACGGAAAGACCCCGUGCACCUUUACUGCAGUUUGGCAUUGAUUUUUGAAUUUGUAUGUGUAGGAUAGGCGGGAGACUGCGAAGCUAUGACGCCAGUUGUAGCGGAGUCAUCCUUGAAAUACCGCCCUUAUAAGUUGAAAGAUCUAACUUUGACCCGUAAACCGGGCUAAGGACAAUGUCUGAUGGGCAGUUUGACUGGGGUGGUCGCCUCCUAAAAAGUAACGGAGGCGUUCAAAGGUUCCCUCAAGAUGUAUAGAAAUCAUCUUAAGAGCGCAAAAGCAUAAGGGAGCUUGACUGCGAGACAUACAGGUCGAGCAGGUGCGAAAGCAGGAUUUAGUGAUCCAGUGGUUCUGUAUGGAAGGGCCAUUGCUAAACGGAUAAAAGGUACGCCGGGGAUAACAGGCUGAUCUCCUCUAAGAGUCCACAUCGACGAGGAGGUUUGGCACCUCGAUGUCGGCUCAUCACAUCCUGGGGCUGAAGAAGGUCUCAAGGGUUAGGCUGUUCGCCUAUUAAAGUGGUACGCGAGCUGGGUUCAGAACGUCGUAAGACAGUUCGGUCCUUAUCCUCUGUGGGCGUAGGGUAUUUGAGGGGGGCUGUUCCUAGUACGCAAGGACCGGGAUGGGUAAACCUCUAGUGUUCCAGUUGUUCUCCAAGAGCAAGCUGGGUAGCCAAGUUUAUAAGAGAUAACCGCUGAAAGCAUCUAAGUGGGAAACUCGCCCUAAGAUAAGAUACCCCUUAUUAGAAC